rnacentral:rRNA from 1 species
UGCCAGCCGCCGCGGUAAUACGGAGGGUGCAAACGUUGCUCGGAAUUACUGGGCGUAAAGCGCGCGUAGGUGGUCUUUUAAGUCGGGUGUGAAAGCCCUGGGCUCAACCCGGGAAGUGCAUUCGAAACUGGGAGACUUGAGUACGGGAGAGGGUUGCGGAAUUCCCGGUGUAGAGGUGAAAUUCGUAGAGAUUGGAAGGAACACCAGUGGCGAAGGCGACCACCUGGACUGACACUGACGCUGAGGUGCGAAAGCGUGGGGAGCAAACAGGAUUAGAUA